rnacentral:rRNA from 1 species
GACGAACGCUGGCGGCGUGCUUAACACAUGCAAGUCGAACGGAAAGGCCCUGCUUUUGUGGGGUGCUCGAGUGGCGAACGGGUGAGUAACACGUGAGUAACCUGCCCCUGACUUUGGGAUAACUUCAUGAAACUGGGGCUAAUACCGGAUAGGAGCUCCUGCUGCAUGGUGGGGGUUGGAAAGUUUCGGCGGUUGGGGAUGGACUCGCGGCUUAUCAGCUUGUUGGUGGGGUAGUGGCUUACCAAGGCUUUGACGGGUAGCCGGCCUGAGAGGGUGACCGGCCACACUGGGACUGAGAUACGGCCCAGACUCCUACGGGAGGCAGCAGUGGGGAAUAUUGCACAAUGGGCGGAAGCCUGAUGCAGCAACGCCGCGUGCGGGAUGACGGCCUUCGGGUUGUAAACCGCUUUCGCCUGUGACGAAGAGUGAGCGACGGUAAUGGGUAAAGAAGCACCGGCUAACUACGUG